GACGAACGCUGGCGGCGUGCCUAAUACAUGCAAGUCGAACGCACUCUCGUUUAGAUUGAAGGAGCUUGCUCCUGAUUGAUAAACAUUUGAAUGAGUGGCGGACGGGUGAGUAACACGUGGGUAACCUGCCCUAAAGUGGGGGAUAACAUUUGGAAACAGAUGCUAAUACCGCAUAAAACCUAACACCGCAUGGUGUAGGGUUGAAAGAUGGUUUCGACUAUCACUUUAGGAUGGACCCGCGGUGCAUUAGUUAGUCGGUGAGGUAAAGGCUCACCAAGACCGUGAUGCAUAGCCGACCUGAGAGGGUAAUCGGCCACACUGGGACUGAGACACGGCCCAGACUCCUACGGGAGGCAGCAGUAGGGAAUCUUCCACAAUGGACGAAAGUCUGAUGGAACAACGCCGCGUGAGUGAAGAAGGUUUUCGGAUCGUAAAACUCUGUUGUUGGAGAAGAAUGUAUCUGAUAGUAACUGAUCAGGUAGUGACGGUAUCCAACCAGAAAGCCACGGCUAAC
rnacentral:rRNA from 1 species